rnacentral:rRNA from 1 species
AUUGAACGCUGGCGGCAGGCCUAACACAUGCAAGUCGAACGAGUGGCGGACGGGAGAGUAAUGUCUGGGAAACUGCCUGAUGGGGGGGGUUAACUACUGGAAACGGUAGCUAAUCCCGCAUACCAUCAGAUGUGCCCAGAUGGGAUUAGCGUGUUGGUGGGGUAACGGCUAACAAGGGCGACGCUCCCUAGCUGGUCCGAGAGGAUGACCAGCCAGACUGGAACUGAGACACGGUCCAGACUCCUACGGGGGGCAGCAGUGGGGAAUAUGGCAAAAUGGGGGCAAGCCUGAUGCAGCAAUGCCGCGUGUAUGAAGAGGGCCUUCGGGUGGUAAAGUACUUUCAGCGGGGAGGCGUUACCCGCAGAAGAAGCACCGGCUAACUCCGUGCCAGCAGCCGCGGUAAUUC